UACAGAGGGUGCGAGCGUUAAUCGGAAUUACUGGGCGUAAAGCGCACGUAGGCGGCUUUGCAAGUCAGGUGUGAAAUCCCCGGGCUUAACCUGGGAACUGCAUUUGAGACUGCAUUGCUAGAGUAUGGGAGAGAGAAGUGGAAUUUCAGGUGUAGCGGUGAAAUGCGUAGAUAUCUGAAGGAACAUCAGUGGCGAAAGCGACUUCCUGGACCAAUACUGACGCUCAUGUGCGAAAGCGUGGGGAGCAAACAGG
rnacentral:rRNA from 1 species